UUUUUCUCUCUUUCCUCUUAUUCAUCUUCAACCCAUAAAAUUCUCUCUCAUCUCUUCAUCUUCAACCCAUAAAAUCAAUUCAAAACAGUUAUUUGAUUCCAUCAGAAAAUAUGGGUUGAUUCACUUCUAUGUAAUUAAGCACAUGGGCUAAGUUUAUAGUGUUAAUUUCAAAACCCCCUUCUAAUUUUCUAAAUCUCAUAAAAUCUUCAAAAACAAAAACCCACAAAUCCAAAAAUUCUCAGUUCUAGGAGUAGCAGUAGAUGAGCUUGAUAUGUUCUAAGAGUUUCUUAACGGCAUCAGUGCGAGAGGCUUCAGAGGUGCCCAGAAAUUCUCUGAGAGCAGGGGAGAUCGAUUGUGAUUUCAAUAUUCCUAUAGGUAUUAUGGUGCGAGAGGCUUUUUUGCUUUUCUUCUUUCAAUGGUUGAAAACCCCAAACUUAUGUACGUAUGUUAUGAGAAGAUUAUAGGGUGUGAUGAUUUUUUUUAUCGGCUGUGAAGGAGAGCCCCAAACUUGUGUAUGUAUGUUAUGAGAAGAUUACAGGGAGUGAUGAUUUUGUUUUGAUCGCCUGAGAAGAAGAUAUUUACAUGGAGUGGAACAUUUCUAAUAGUUCAUAUUUGGCCAGAUCUGCUUGAUCUUUUGACUUACUUUUGUGAAAUGAAUAACAUGUUGUAAUAAAUUUAAUUGAUACAAAAAUUUUGAUAUAUUAUUUGUGUUAUUUAGAAUUAAAACAAGAGAGUUAUGGCUUUUGACCCGUUUAAUAUGUGC
rnacentral:lncRNA from 1 species